rnacentral:sRNA from 1 species
UGACAUCACCAGUUUGAUAGGUUUCUGU